rnacentral:rRNA from 1 species
GUCAGAUGUGAAAGACCCGGGGCGUCAACCUCGGAAUUGCAUUUGAAACUAGGCAAACUAGAGUACUGUAGAGGGGGUAGGAAGUUUCAGGUGUAGCGGUGAAAUAGCGUAGAGAUCUGAAGGAAUACCGGUGGCGAAGGCGGCCCCCUCGGACAGAUACUGACACUCAGAUGCGAAAGCGUGGGGAGCAAACAGGAUUAGAUACCCUGGUAG